CCUACGGGAGGCAGCAGURAGGAAUCUUCCACAAUGGGGGCAACCCUGAUGGAGCAACGCCGCGUGCAGGAUGAAGGCCUUCGGGUUGUAAACUGCUUUUAUAAGUGAGGAAUAUGACGGUAACUUAUGAAUAAGGAUCGGCUAACUACGUGCCAGCAGCCGCGGUAAU
rnacentral:rRNA from 1 species